UACGUAGGGGGCAAGCGUUGUUCGGAAUUACUGGGCGUAAAGGGCGCGUAGGCGGCACGGCAAGUCAGGAGUGAAAGCCCUGGGCUCAACCCGGGAACUGCUUUUGAAACUGCCGAGCUAGAGUGCGGAAGGGGCAACUGGAAUUCCCAGUGUAGCGGUGAAAUGCGUAGAUAUUGGGAAGAACACCUGAGGCGAAGGCGGGUUGCUGGGCCGACACUGACGCUGAGGAGCGAAAGCGUGGGGAGCAAACAGG
rnacentral:rRNA from 1 species